GACGAACGCUGGCGGCGUGCCUAACACAUGCAAGUCGAACGGAAAGGCCCUGCUUGCAGGGUACUGGAGUGGCGAACGGGUGAGUAACACGCGGGUGAUCUGCCUAGCACUUCGGGAUAAGUCUGGGAAACUGGGUCUAACACCGGACAGGAGCUAUAUUGAGCGUGAUGGUUGGAAAGUUUUUUCGGUUUAGGAUGAGCUUGCGGCCUAUCAGCUUGUUGGUGGGGUAAUGGCCUACCAAGGCGGCGGCGGGAAGCCGGCCUGUGGGGGUGGGCGGCCACAGUGGGACUGAGACGCGGCCCCGGCUCCGACUGGAGGGAGAAGGGGGGAAGGUUGACCGAGGGGCGCCGGCCUGAUGCUGCGACGCCGCGUGGGGGAUGACGGUCUUCGGGUUGGAGACUCAUUUCGCUAGGAACGAAGCUUUUUGUGACGGUACCUAGAUAAGAAGCCCCGGCUAACUACGUG
rnacentral:rRNA from 1 species